AAAGUAACCGCCGGUGAUAAGCCGGAGGAAGGUGGGGAUGACGUCAAGUCCUCAUGGCCCUUACGCGCUGGGCUACACACGUGCUACAAUGGCAAGUACAGUGGGCAGCAAUCCCGCGAGGGUGAGCUAAUCUCCAAAACCGCUCUCAGUUCGGAUCGGAGUCUGCAACUCGACUCCGUGAAGCUGGAUUCGCUAGUAAUCGCGCAUCAGCCACGGCGCGGUGAAUACGUUCCCGGGCCUU
rnacentral:rRNA from 1 species